rnacentral:rRNA from 1 species
GAUGAACGCUGGCGGCGUGCCUAAUACAUGCAAGUCGAGCGAACAGACGAGGAGCUUGCUCCUCUGACGUUAGCGGCGGACGGGUGAGUAACACGUGGAUAACCUACCUAUAAGACUGGGAUAACUUCGGGAAACCGGAGCUAAUACCGGAUAAUAUAUUGAACCGCAUGGUUCAAUAGUGAAAGACGGUUUUGCUGUCACUUAUAGAUGGAUCCGCGCCGCAUUAGCUAGUUGGUAAGGUAACGGCUUACCAAGGCAACGAUGCGUAGCCGACCUGAGAGGGUGAUCGGCCACACUGGAACUGAGACACGGUCCAGACUCCUACGGGAGGCAGCAGUGGGGAAUCUUCCGCAAUGGGCGAAAGCCUGACGGAGCAACGCCGCGUGGGUGAUGAAGGUCUUCGGAUCGUAAAACUCUGUUAUUAGGGAAGAACAAAUGUGUAAGUAACUAUGCACGUCUUGACGGUACCUAAUCAGAAAGCCACGGCUAACUACGUG